rnacentral:tRNA from 1 species
GGGUUGCUAGCUCAAUGGUAGAGCAGCUGACUCUUAAUCAGUAGGUUCGGGGUUCGAGUCCCUGGCAACCCA